rnacentral:rRNA from 1 species
AUUGAACGCUGGCGGCAGGCCUAACACAUGCAAGUCGAACGAGUGGCGGACGGGUGAGUAAUGUCUGGGAAACUGCCUGAUGGAGGGGGAUAACUAAUGGAAACGGUAGCUAAUACCGCGUAAAAUCAGAUGAGCCCAGUUGGGAUUAGAUGUUUGGGGGGGUAGCGGCUCACCAAGGCGACGAUCCCUAGCUGGUCUGAAAGGAUGACCAGCCAAACUGGAACUGAGACACGGUCCAGACUCCGACGGGAGGCAGCAGUGGGGAAUAUUGAACAAUGGGCGAAAGCCUGAUGCAGCCAUGCCGCGGGUAUGAUGAAGGCCGUCGGGUUGUAAAGUACUUUCAGCGGGUAGGCGUUACCCGCAGAAGAAGCACCGGCUAACUCCGUGCCAGCAGCCGCGGUAAUAC